rnacentral:misc_RNA from 1 species
CCGACGAGCCAAGUAACCCCUAAAGGCUGCCUGUGCUAUGGUGGCAGCAUGCUCUUGUCUUUUCAGCUCAGCAUCAUCUGAGGAGGUUGUCCCAUUCACAGGUGGUUCUAUAUCGUGUGUUGCAGAGGAUAAUGAGGCGGUUUCACAUGCAAAGUCAGUGCUUGUACCCUUUUCCAAUCCAGCCUGGUCACCACCAUUAUCAAAAUUCUGAACCGGUAGAUCCAAACUUGGUGAAUCAAUAGAGAGAUCCCCCACAGGCGCUUUUGCAGAAGAUAUUUUCUCACCAGAAGCAUCCUUUGAUAAAUGAGACUUGGAUGAUUUCUUCCCAAAAAGCACAGCCUUGAUCCACUUGGCAGGAGAUUUUUUCCCCAUUGCAGACAGCAAGCUGCUGAAUUAAAGAGGAUUUCAACUGAAUCCUGAAGAACAGAAACGAAAGCUCCUGUUUUAAGAUCCGAAAAUUGGCAUAGAUGAGCUGAAAGAAGAAAUUCAAGAAGAAGAGAACUAACAAUUAAUUGUUCAGUAGAAUCAG